rnacentral:rRNA from 1 species
UUAUGAGAGUUUGAUCCUGGCUCAGGACGAACGCUGGCGGCGUGCCUAAUACAUGCAAGUCGAACGCUUUUUCUUUCACCGGAGCUUGCUCCACCGAAAGAAAAAGAGUGGCGAACGGGUGAGUAACACGUGGGUAACCUGCCCAUCAGAAGGGGAUAACACUUGGAAACAGGUGCUAAUACCGUAUAACACUAUUUUCCGCAUGGAAGAAAGUUGAAAGGCGCUUUUGCGUCACUGAUGGAUGGACCCGCGGUGCAUUAGCUAGUUGGUGAGGUAACGGCUCACCAAGGCAACGAUGCAUAGCCGACCUGAGAGGGUGAUCGGCCACACUGGGACUGAGACACGGCCCAGACUCCUACGGGAGGCAGCAGUAGGGAAUCUUCGGCAAUGGACGAAAGUCUGACCGAGCAACGCCGCGUGAGUGAAGAAGGUUUUCGGAUCGUAAAACUCUGUUGUUAGAGAAGAACAAGGAUGAGAGUAAAAUGUUCAUCCCUUGACGGUAUCUAACCAGAAAGCCACGGCUAACUACGUGCCAGCAGCCGCGGUAAUAC